rnacentral:rRNA from 1 species
AUUAAUUCGUAUGCAACGACGAAAACCCUUACCCUACCUUUGACAUGUACGGAAUCCUUUAGAGAUAGAGGAGUGCUCGAAAGAGAGCCGUAACACAGGUGCUGCAUGGCUGUCGUCAGCUCGUGUCGUGAGAUGUUGGUUAAGUCCCGCAACGAGCGCAACCCUUGUCAUUAGUUGCUACAUUCAGUUGGGCACUCUAAUGAGACUGCCGGUGACAAACCGGAGGAAGGUGGGGAUGACGUCAAGUCCUCAUGGCCCUUAUAGGUGGGGCUACACACGUCAUACAAUGGAUGGUACAAAGGGUCGCCAACCCGCGAGGGGGAGCCAAUCCCAUAAAGCCAUUCGUAGUCCGGAUCGCAGUCUGCAACUCGACUGCGUGAAGUCGGAAUCGCUAGUAAUCGUGGAUCAGAAUGUCACGGUGAAUACGUUCCCGGGUCUU